rnacentral:rRNA from 1 species
GCCUAAAGAGAAGCUUGCGGCUGAUUAGCUUGUUGGUGAGGUAAUGGCUCACCAAGGCGACGAUCAGUAUCUGGUUUGAGAGGAUGAUCAGACACACUGGAACUGAGACACGGUCCAGACUCCUACGGGAGGCAGCAGUGGGGAAUUUUCCGCAAUGGGCGAAAGCCUGACGGAGCAAUACCGCGUGAGGGAUGACGGCCUAUGGGUUGUAAACCUCUUUUUUCAGGGAGGAAUCAAUGACGUGUACCUGAAGAAUAAGCAUCGGCUAACUCCGUGCCAGCAGCCGCGGUAAGACGGAGGAUGCAAGUGUUAUCCGGAAUCACUGGGCGUAAAGCGUCUGUAGGUGGUCCAAUAAGUCAACUGUUAAAUCUUGAGGCUCAACCUCAAAAUCGCAGUCGAAACUGUUAGACUAGAGUAUAGUAGGGGUAAAGGGAAUUUCCAGUGGAGCGGUGAAAUGCGUAGAUAUUG